AAUCAAUCAGAUUUUUAAUAUUGUUGUAUCUUGUUAUACUGUAUACUUAUUAAUUUGCAAUUUAAUUAGAUCUAUAUUUUACAAUACAAAAACUCGCAUUUAUAAAUAAAUACGACUCAUCACUGUAUGAGUUGAUACGAAUUGAAAUAAACACGUGUUUCCGCUUUGGUGUAAACAUGAUGGUGAUCCGAAAUCUGAACGUCAAUUUUCAUGAUUAUUUCACGACGAAGAUCAUCACAUCAAUGAAUCAAAUAAUACGAACAUGCCUUUGGUAUUAGCAGGUAAGAAUACGUGUAUAUUGACUGAAAAGUUUAAGUUUAAAACGCAAUAGUUCACGUUCAAAAGAAAACUAAAUGUACACAUGUACUAGAUCUUUAUGUUUCAGUGUGCGUGUUUCGUAUCGUUCAGCCAAUUUUGCAUUGCUUUUGAACUUUGAUGCUCAAUUUAACAAUCACUCGGUGCUUUCAGCAUUGCAACAAUACUUUCAUCUGUGAAUACCCAUUUUCUAAGCCCACCAUGAACUACGAAGGUUAAUUAAUAUGUAAGGACACCAAUGAACAGACACUUUUCAAUUAUCCUACAUCAUAUACAUGGGUGGUCAAACUCACUGGAUGGUUUAUCAACACUCCCAUGCUCACAAACAGCCUUGCGCCAGGAAUUUUGCCCUGAAGUGACAUUGCAGUCUAUUGUCUCCUUUCUUUUUACAACCCUGGCAGCCAUGCAGGAUAGAAGCUGAUCACUUGUACUUGACAGCAAAUAAUAAUGUCUUGGACAAGUCAAAGAAUUUCCUCCGAUCUUACAGAGAAAUGACAGUUGAUAAAAGAAUGGUGGACACAAAGUAAAAGUGCUCUUCAACAUUUUGUUGAAGAUUUCAGUCUGAUUUGGAAUUCAUCUUGCAAUAUUUCUGUAUUUGUAUAUUUGGAUAUAAGCUACAAAUUUUCAACUUAUUGACUAAACAGUUUUGCAUUUAAUAUUGCCAAUGCUAUCUAUUAUUAUUAUUUCCCUCCAAGAUAACAUGUCAAGUCUUUAUUGUACCCCUUAAGCUCUGUUAUACCAGAAAAAUCUUGUAAUGAAAUCAUUUAGUUUUUUUUUCUUGUUAAAUUAAAUCCAUGAAAAUAAAGAUUAUUUUUAAUGUCAUCAAGAGAAUGGAUUUCUUGUUUAACAAAAAGAUAGUAUACAUGU